UGGGAUUCAUCCUCACUAUUCUGUUCAUUGUGUGGCAUGGCGGCGGGCCGAACCGAAUCAGAGCUUGUUGCUGCUGUCAUGAUCGAAAAGCCAAGAGGGGGUAGUGAGCCGCAUAUUUAA
rnacentral:ribozyme from 1 species